AGCCGGCCUGCAGAGGGAGGAUGAGUCUCGGAGUGUUGGAGUGGAGAAGCCAGGCAAGCAACACUGUGCCUCAGGCGGAGAAUGGGACGGUGGGAGAGGCUGGAGGACGGCUGGCAGGAAGCCUGGCCCCGGUGGCACGGAUCCGCAGUCCCGGCCGCAGCUGGAGGUGCCCGGGAGACUGUGGGCGGCCGUUGCCGCGUCUGUGACGUGACUUCCCCAAACGGUGACGUUCCCAACAGAGCAAAGCCUCUUACCCUCAGGUCUGACCCCAGGCUCUUUGCAAAGCCGCCCUCCCGUAAGUGAGCUCCGAUGGGACGCAGCCCUUCCCACGGCCCCCAGGACACAGCCAGGCCAUCGCGCUUCGAGGAGCAGCCAGCCUGCGCCCUCAACCCUGCCCCGUCCCGCCCCGCUGACCGGUUGCCCUGCCCCGAGUUUCCGGGGUCAGAUCCCUGCACAGGCUGGAGAGGUAAAGGAGGCACGGGGUCCGGGGCCUGUCCCCGGUGAGUGUUGCAUAUGUCCCGUUGUCGGUACGAAUUUCCUCCCUUCAAGGAAUUUUGUUUUAUUGAGAUGGAAUUCACACGCGAUGGACGGAACGAGUUUAAAGUGCGCAGUCCAGCGGCAUUUAGCGCGGUCACGGUGCGGCACAGCUAAGCACCUCUUUACCCGGUUCCGAAACCUCUUCAUCCACCCCAGGAGGAGCCCCGGCCCCGAGCCCGAGCCCCAGCCGCCGCCAACCUGCCUCUUGCCUCUGCGUAAAAGGGACCCGACACCACGCGACCUUUCCCGUCUGCCUUCGCUCACGCGACAGGACGCGUCGGGGGCUCCCCGUGCUGUGGCAUACGCCUUUUCCCGCUUCUUCUCUUGGGGGCCGUGCGGGUGGAGCCAGGAUUCUGGACGCGGCUCCUGCGUCUUGCCCGCCCCCGGGCUCCCCGUCCCGUCUCCGCCUCCUCCAUGAAGCCUUCAAAGGGCGGCCCCUCUGGCCCGUCUGCCCGGGUGAGGACCUCAGCCUCGGCCUCUGAGCGUGAGCACCUCCCAGGCAGUGAGCUCAUGUUGCCCUUCUCCGUGGGUCCUCCGGGCGGUGUGCACAGUGGGCACUUUAUAAGUGGCCAGGUUGUGACUCUCGACGGGCCCCUCCCGGUUGCGGCCGACCCCAGGACGUGGCUGCGGCCCGGGGCAGACCAGGACCAGCGGUCACCGGAGGGGCCCCGAUGCCUCGCAGCGGUGGGCCAGGCGGCUUAUUCAACCUCAACCUCUUUCUGACUUCAAGGAAAACCACGUGCUUGGAAACUGAGAUGUUGCCGGGAGAGCCCGAAUGUCUUCCCUCUCUUCUGGAGAAACAGAUGAUUAUUUUCCUUUCCUUUCCGUCUCCCCCCACCGCCCCAUAGCCGAGCAGAUGUUAACUCUCCAAUAAAUGGAAGGGAAAGAAAGAAAAAAAGACGAGAGACAUUUAGCAAACUAUAGCUGUGCAGGCCAGAGUUAUCACUCUGAUUUCAACUGGGACUAUAAAAUUUUAUGAGCUAUUAAAUUGUCCUAAAGCUCCUUUAACAUACAAACUCGAGUGUCUGAGAUUACCCAUUAAGAAAAAGUGGGUUACAUCGGGAGAACUUUUACUAUUUCCACUCGAUUGUGUUCAAUCAAUAAAACUUCUAACUAGC